rnacentral:rRNA from 1 species
UACGAAGGGUGCAAGCGUUACUCGGAAUUACUGGGCGUAAAGCGUGCGUAGGUGGUUUGUUAAGUCUGCUGUGAAAGCCCCGGGCUCAACCUGGGAAUGGCAGUGGAUACUGGCAAGCUUGAGUGCAGGAGAGGAAUGCGGAAUUCCAGGUGUAGCGGUGAAAUGCGUAGAUAUCUGGAGGAACACCGGUGGCGAAGGCGGCAUUCUGGACUGCAACUGACACUGAGGAACGAAAGCCAGGGGAGCAAACGGG